AUUGAACGCUGGCGGCAGGCCUAACACAUGCAAGUCGAGCGGCAGCGGGAAAGUAGCUUGCUACUUUUGCCGGCGAGCGGCGGACGGGUGAGUAAUGCCUGGGAAAUUGCCCAGUCGAGGGGGAUAACAGUUGGAAACGACUGCUAAUACCGCAUACGCCCCACGGGGGAAAGCAGGGGACCUUCGGGCCUUGCGCGAUUGGAUAUGCCCAGGUGGGAUUAGCUAGUUGGUGAGGUAAUGGCUCACCAAGGCGACGAUCCCUAGCUGGUCUGAGAGGAAGAUCAGCCACACUGGAACUGGGACAGGUACCAGACGCCUACGGGAGGCAGCAGUGGGGAAUAUUGCACAAUGGGGGAAACCCUGAUGCAGCCAGGCCGCGUGUAUGAAGGAGGCCUUCGGGUUGUAAAGCACUUUCAGCGAGGAGGAAAGGUUGAUGCCUAAUACGUAUCAACUGUGACGUUACUCGCAGAAGAAGCACCGGCUAACUCCGUGCCAGCAGCCGCCGUAAGAC
rnacentral:rRNA from 1 species